rnacentral:RNase_MRP_RNA from 1 species
GGGCAUUCAGAAGACUUGCACUCUGGGCUACACGCUGAGAACCCGUUUCUCCCCCCGCCCAGGGGAAAGUCCCCGGACUCGUGGCAGAAAGUGCCCUGGGUAAAUCCAGCGCCGACCGACGCCUGAACCGAUCCGAAGCCGAGACGUUCAUAAGAACCGAGCUUGGUGGUCGCCGGUCGACUUUGUCAGCGAUCAUAGUAAUGCAAGUAGGCGGCUACUGACCUCAACGAAACGGGGCUCAUUCUCUGAAUGCU